GCUGUGGCCAUUGAUUGACACAUUAAAUUCAUCCAUUGACUGGGACAAUUUACGUGAACGUUUGUCUGUAACGACCACCGUUCACGACGUACCUACGAUAGACAUUUAAACUGUGGGGUCACCAAAGGUUUCUUAACGCCUUUAAUUAUAAAAUAAUUCGAAAAAUUAAUCAGGAAUAACCUUUAUGUUUUGAUUUAUAUAAUU
rnacentral:lncRNA from 1 species